UAAUACAGAGGUCUCAAGCGUUGUUCGGAUUCAUUGGGCGUAAAGGGUGCGUAGGUGGCGGGGUAAGUCAGGUGUGAAAUCUCGGGGCUCAACCCCGAAACUGCACUUGAUACUGCCUUGCUCGAGUACUGGAGAGGAGAUUGGAAUUUACGGUGUAGCAGUGAAAUGCGUAGAUAUCGUAAGGAAGACCAGUGGCGAAGGCGAAUCUCUGGACAGUUACUGACACUGAGGCACGAAGGCCAGGGGAGCAAACGGGAUUAGAUACCCCGGUAGUCCUGGCAGUAAACGGUGCGCGUUUGGUGUGGGAGGAUUCGACCCCUUCUGUGCCGGAGCUAACGCGUUAAACGCGCCGCCUGGGGAGUACGGUCGCAAGAUUA
rnacentral:rRNA from 1 species